UACGUAGGUGGCAAGCGUUGUCCGGAUUUACUGGGCGUAAAGGGCGUGCAGGCGGUUUGUUAAGUUCAGGGUGAAAGCUCCCGGCUCAACUGGGAGAGGUCCUUGCAUACUGGCGAACUCGAGGGAGGCAGAGGAAAGUGGAAUUCCCGGUGUAGUGGUGAUAUGCGUAGAUAUCGGGAGGAACACCUGUGGCGAAGGCGGCUUUCUGGGCCUUACCUGACGCUGAGACGCGAAAGCGUGGGGAGCGAACCGG
rnacentral:rRNA from 1 species